rnacentral:tRNA from 1 species
CCGGGUGUAGCGCAAUGGCAGCGCACAUGGUUUGGGACCAUGGUGUUGUGGGUUCGAGUCCCACUACUCGGACCA